UAUUUAGUCAGCUUAAAUUAAACUUCAACAGAUUCAACUACACCAUUACCCUAAAAUGUUAUCUACACUGAAGGAAAUUGUUUAAUGACAACUUAUAAAGUACUAUAAAUUGAGAGAUGACAUGAUUAGAACCCUGUCCUUUAUCAUGCCUUCCAGGUCUUUUGACAACAUUUACUGAUACAUCUGAACCAUCGGUUCACUUUCACUUUUUCCGCAGCAAGGUGGCUACUUGACUACAUCUGCAGCUCUCGAUGAAGCCGUUUGAAGAGGGACCUUGUAUUUGAGGCCCUCUGUCACAAAUCUUUUCAGGUAAAGGCUGAAAGGUCCGCCGGUGCAUCAAUCCAAAUGCUCUCAAAAGGAUCUUGUUCUCCCCAAUCGUAACACUGCUUUCGCGGGUAGUAUCUGUUUUUAUCGAGAGAAUAGGAUAUGCAGCGCCUUCCAUAAAAACGAACCUUAGAGAAAUAAAUACUAUUUCUCAUCACACCAAGAAUGUCUGUCCUUGCUUGGGAUGAAAGGAAACUAGCAAAAAGAGUCAAACCACCUAAAGUUUGCAUCUCCACCCAAAUUUUAUUAAUUUGGUCCAACUUAUAUACCACGGGGUUUGCAGUAGAGCAAGUAUAUAUCACAUAGAUAUCUCCAUCGUGCUCUGCCAUGAAUUUUCCUUUCCACCAAUUUUUGACGAAAAAGUUCUCGGGGCAUCUCGGAGGUGGAACCACACGAACAAGCCAAGUAUGUUCUUCUGGAUCAUAGACUCCCAACCAGCCAGUAAGACUCAGACAAUAAAAGAGACCAUUGCAGAAAACUAACUUAUUCCAAAUGCUGCUAACAAAUGGCAAACGGUUUUGGUAAUUGGCAGUUGUCCAUUCAGUUGCUCCUGGUUUACAUGUGCUAAUUGCAACCAAAGUGGGGCUGACAUGCUUAACUGUGAAAACAAUACAGUCAGGGGAUGUUGGGGCUGCCGAAAAAGCAACUAUCUGGUAUGUUAAUUCUAGUCCUGGCAAAUUGAUCACCUCCUUCGUAUAAGGAUUGAAGAAGAACACACGCAAAGUUCUGGGCUUGUAUAGCAGCAACCAGCCAUCCUUUGCAUAACAAAGCCUUGAGCCACGUAACUCUGGUAACUCAACAGAAUAAGUUUGCCUCACUGAAGGGUCAUAGAAUUCAACCAAGUCACCGAAUUUCGGGAAAAACAUAAGCCAAG
rnacentral:misc_RNA from 1 species